AAUAACAUUUGUCCCUUCUCCGAUAAUAUUAGAACGAUACAGAGAAGAUUAGCAUGGCCCCUGCGCAAGGUUGACAUGCACAAAUCGAGAAAUGAUCCAAUUUUUG
rnacentral:snRNA from 1 species